UCUAGUGGAAAACCCGUCAGAUGCGCCCAAAUUUUGAUAGCUUUCAGUGGAGGGGUCGACAUGGAGUGAUCAGAGUUCCACUGCGCAGUGUGAAACAUCGAAUCUCCAACGUACCAUAUGUUCUUUUCAAGGAUCUUGUUCCUCAGGUACUCGCUUUGGAUUCUCACAUUCACUGAAUGGUUUAAUGGGUUGUUGUGAAUCUCGAGCUUCUUUCCCUUUCCCCACAUAUAAUUAAACACACUUUGUAUUUGAUUACAGGGCGGAGACUUUCCAUUGAAAUAGCAGAUGAUGUAGUCUUUGUGAAUUUCUGCUCCUUUCCUGAAGACAGUGUCUGGGAUGACUACUCUUGGGCGUCCAGAAGAAGUUAUCGUGAUGGCAGCGAGACGCCU
rnacentral:lncRNA from 1 species